rnacentral:lncRNA from 1 species
GCGGCAUUUGUCAGGUUGUUGGUAGAGAUGGACAGAAAAGACAAUGAUUCUAACGCGACUAUUUGAGGUGAUAUCUCGCCUGUGAGCUGGUUGCUGGCCAAUCUAAUAGCAGUUAAGGACUUGCAAGAGUAGAGGCUUUGAGGUAACUCACCAAUGAAGUUGUUGUCGCCAAGGUCCAGAGUGGCGAGGCGUUGGAGAGUAGAAAAAUUGAAGGCAGAGAGCUGUCCAGUCAAGUUGUUAACCCGCAAAUUCAAAGUGGAUAGAUUUGUGCAGUUGGUGAGGGACGGAGGCAAGGCACCAGUGAAGUUGUUGAUGUGUAGGAGCAGAUUCUCCAACCUGAAAAGGUUACCAAUAUCCCCAGGGAUUUGACCAAAGAAGUUGUUCGAAUAAAGCUCGAGGAUCCUGAGAUUGGUGAGGUUCAUGAUGCCAUCACUGAUGGGUCCAGAGAGAAUAUUUACAGGCAGAGAGAGCUGUUGGAGAUCAGCAAGCAUAAAAAUUUCAUCAGGGAGAUAACCAUUAAGGGUAUUGAAACCUGCCCGAAAAGUUUGGAGCCUCGAACACAAUCCGAUUCCUGGGGGAAUUGGGCCAGUGAAUUUAUUGAAGGACAAGUCCAAGAAGGUAAGGGAAGUGUGAUUCCCGCCAUUGCUGACCGGUAUCGGUCCCGAAAAGCUGUUGUUGCUGACAUUGAAAACCGACACUGAAGGGACGAGGAUCGAAGCUGGGAUUGUUCCAUUGAAGAAGUUGCUGGACAAGUUUAUAAUCUGCAGGUGGCUGCUUUCAUUGGAGGAUUGUGGGAAGCGGCCGAUGAGACGAUUGAAGCUCAAGUCAAUGACCGCAAUACUUGGGAGGGAAGAAAGCAAGUCGUCUGGGAGAGAACCCAGGAGGGAAUUGUGGGAAAGAUUGAGGUGGGUGAGACGGGUGAGACGGGUGAGGUUGGUGAUGGCCGGAGAGACGACACCGGAUAAGCCUCUCCUGGGCAGAGAAAGCCGGACGACGCGGCUGUGCUCAACCGGGUCGCAGGUGACUCCAUCCCAAAGGCAGCAGUCAGUGGAAGCAGACCAAUUCAACGGUGUGUUGAAGGGCAAGGACAAAAGAGCGUCGCGAUCGAGCCGGUCGCAGGCAGCAGAGGCAGAGCAAGGAAGAAUAAGAAGGACGAGAACCCAUUGACCCAAAUAGCAGAGAAGACGAAAGGUUGGUGGUGUUGGUAUUGCUGGGACCUUCACCUUCUGCUUGUCGUGUUUCAUCCGAACAAGAGAAGAAGACAUGAAGACUCUCUCUCUCUCACUCAAUCACAUCACCAUCAAUACUAUAACCACAAUCUAUUGGAAUCAUAGAAGAAGCAGCAGCAGGAAUAGUACCAAUCUAGAACGCCCAGCAGGUGUUCGAAUAAAUGCCUGAGAGAUGACAGAGAGAGCUAUAUCUACCUGGUGCAGAGGGCGGGGGGAAUUGGGUUUUUGGGAUGGCAGGAAAACAAAAGAAGAAACCCCAAUAGGGCAAUUGACCCAGGAGAGGGGGGGGGGGGGGGGGGGGGAGAGAGAGAGCAAUGGGUGUGUGAGACAAGUGACGUUGACAUGGGGAGGAGAUAAUAAUAAAUAAAAGGGGAGGGAAGGAGCGCUUACUUUGUGGGCGGCUGGUAGUGGCUGUUGGUGUUGGACAUUUUCUAAUCUUGAAAUCAUGAUGAUGGUCAUGAUGGUGGAGACGAUGGUGAUCCCCUUUCUUUCAACGCCACCAUAAGAAGGAAGGAAGAGAGAGGUUAGCGUGUAUAGUAGGAUUUGGAUAUCCACUUUAACAUAAACCCAGCACAGAACUAGCAAAUUUGGGAGAGAGAGACAGACAGACCUGCACUCAAAUCGUGAGUUCGCCCGAGAAAUUUUCCAUUUCAGAAUCCAAAUCGUGGGUUUUUUUCCCUUCAGCUAUUCAAAUUUUGGGUGCCAGAUUGGAGAUUGGGAGACGACGGGUUUGUGGAUAUUUGGAUCUUUCGGAUUGUUGGAGAGAGAGAGAGAGAGAGUCAAGUCAAGGUUGCAACUUGCUGGUCAAGGGGUUGGAAAUUACAGUGUGUUUGAACAAGGAAAUAAACUUUGUAUUUAGCAAAAAGAAAUGUUUUUAGAAAAAAUUAGAUUUUCAUCCAUGUUAUUUCUACUUCAUUGAUUAAAUUUUUUUUUUUUCAAUUUUUUAUCAUGAUCCUUAGAUUUUAAUAAACGUCAUUAAUUAUUUCAAUAAUAAGAUUUUUUUUUUCUAAAUAUAUUCAUUUAGUGUUAGAAAUGUUACAUUUUUUAUAUUUAUAUUUAUGGUUAAAUUUUUAUCACAUAUUUUUAUUUUUAUUUUUAGUUUGUACCCAUUGUGAAAUCCCGUCUCCGGAUUUCACUAUUUAAAAUUACGUAUUUCGUAUUCUUAGUUUCGACGCUUUUAUAAUUACGGCGUAUAGUUUUUUUUUCAAUAAGUAAAAGGACGAAAAAGCCCUUAAUGAACUAAACAGACUUUUCAAGGACGUAUUUAAUUCCUAUAUGUGACAUGCAAUGGACGAAAUCCCAUCAUUCGAACAUAGUUUCCUUAAGUUCAGCCACUUGAUCAUUUUAACCAUCGACAAUCUAACCGUUGGGUCGUCACCAAACUUUAAUUCGUUAUAGUACAUAAUAUUUGAGGACUUUAGUAACUUACAAAUCGGGAAUCUGACGUAUGGAUCUUCCCGAAUUGAACUUCUAAGUUUGUAAAAUAAAACGUUGACCGCCUCUUAAUUUUAAUGAUUGUCGGAGAUCUGACCGUUGGAUUGUUCCAAAAUUUUAGGAUAUUGUUCUAGAAGAUUAAUGAGACUCUUGAAAAAUUACGGAUAAAAAAUCUGUAGACGGAUGUUCUAGAUCGAAUUACGCAGGUUGGUGGACUUUACCGUUGACAGAGAGUUAACUUCCAGCACAUGUCUCGAAUCGUUCUUAAAUACUAAAAUUAGUACUACUGGAUACUAAAUGAAGUCUAGUAGGCCUACAUUGGUUAGUAAGUGACUUUAAGAUAUGUGAUAUGGUUAUUACCCUAAUUUCGUAUUUAGUAUCCUUUGUGGAUAUCACUUGAUUUUAUAAAUGUGAUUUCUAUUGAAAUGUGACUUUUUUUAUUAUUUAUAUUUAGCCAUUGAUUUAUUUUUAUUAAAUAUGAUUUGACUUGUGCAUUGAUGAUAGUUGUGAAAUGUGAUUUGAAGUGCUUAUUGAAUUGUUUGAUGAAAUGUGAGAGCUUGUUUCAUAUCUUGCUUCAUUGUUUCAUUUCUCGUUUUGUUGAGCCGUUCUAAAUUGAGUAACUUGAUUCAUGUCUUGUUUCUUUGAGCCGUUGUUAUGUUUUUUGGACUUCCACUCGGUUCCGUUGAGUGGUCCAAAACCGGGUUCAGCUGGGGUUCCGUUGAGUGGUCCGGAAUCCCUCGUGCUCCGCGAUUAUGUUGAAUGGUCCGGAAUCAUAUCCUUCUGCUUUGGAUUUCGUUGAGUGGUCUGAUAUCAAUUGUACUCAGCGAUUCUGUUAAGUGGUCCAAAAUUGUAUCCACUCGAAUUCCGUUAAGAGGUCCAGAAUCCCUUCUACUCCGCAAUUUCGUUGAGUGGUCUGUAACCUAAUGUUGUUGGAUUUCGUUGAGUGGUCCGAAAUCAUCUCCUUGACUUCGUUGAUUCGUUGGAUUGGUCUAAAUUGAGAAAGCUUCAGAUAUGUAGACUUCGGCCGAACUGUGUCACUCUAGCCCUGCAUUUUGGUAUAUUGUAUAAGUUAUUAAUUUAUGUGAUUGUGGAAUGGUGUUGGAAAGUAUAUGUGCGUGUGAAUGGCAAGAUGACAACUCUUGUUUGGCUUAUGGUUGACGUGUACUCUAUGUUUUCUGCUAGGAAGUGUUUUACAAAAAGUUCAGAGUUUAAAAAAUGGUAAACUACAAAUGGCUUGAUCCUAUCGGAGGGUACGUAUGCAGUCUAACAAAGAGGUUAGAUGCUGUAACGCCCCAGUCCCGAAAUAUUUACUUUAUUUCGAGAAAUAAUGAUAUUAGUGAUAGGCCCAAAAUAAAACUCUUAUUUAGUUUAUUAUCCUUAGUUAACAACUCCAAAUAAAAUCCUUCAUCCCACAAGCAAUUUAUAAGCAUUAUUCAUUUUUCCAGAACAUACAAUUUAACUUCCAAUUUAGUACCAUUUCUUUGUAGGGACCAAUUUCCAUUAUGUAAAAGAGAUGAUUAGUUGUGGUGGAAUUGGUAAAAGAGAUGAUUAGAGAUAAUUUUCAGGUGAUGGGGGACCUUAAUUUCAUUGGAAUUUGGCCGGGAGACAACAAAUCCCGCCGGUUAUGCCUCACGAGUCAAAAGACUCGUUUUUCCCCCUUCUUCCUCUUGUUCUCUCCUUUCCCUCCUUUCUUCCUUUUCUGAUUGGGUUGUGCCCAUUUCCACCACUCACCAACCGCCACGUGGCUACACACCCAUGCUCCAAAAGAUCUGGAGCUCUCCAGAAAAUGGUCGAAUGACCAUUUCAUCCCUGACUUUGUUUGUUUAUAUCUUCUUCGUUAUAAGUCCAUUUCAUGAAUGGUUUGCGCCCACGUGUUCAUGGGGUCGAGCUCUAUUCACAUAUAUAAAUUGUGACCUAAAAAGGUCGACGGAUUUUAAAUAAUUAAUUUCCAACUUCAAACUUCGUAACUAUUUUAAUUUAAAACUAGAUUCAAAUAAAUUAAUAUAAUUCCCCAAUGAAUAACAUAAAAUCUUGAUAACACUUUACAUAACUUAUAAAAUUUUCAAUAACAAAACUAUAAAAUUCCCCAAUUCUAUUUCUAUAAUCAUAAAUCGAUUUAUUUUCGAUUUUUCCCCACAUAUUAUGAAUAUCCAUCUCAUAUAUUUAAAUUUUUCAGGGUAUUACAGAUGCAGUCAUAAAGUAUACAAAAAAUUAUUACGCAAUCUGAAUUUUGAGUUAUGGCUUGUCCAUAUCCCGAAGGCGAGGUAUGUUAGAUAUACGGGUAUCUGGUGACGUCGCAUGUCAAUCCUGUACGUAUGUAGGAUCGGGGCGUGACACCUAUUUUUAAUUUGCAACCCUUUUUUUAAUUUGUACCAAUUUUCUCUUCAAUUUUAAUUUGUACCCAUAUAUUAAUUCCUUUUUGUGCCCAUAUUUUUUAAACUUUUAUUUGUAUUUGUACCCAUAUUUUUUUAAUUUAUUUGUACCCAUUUUUAAUUUUGCUAAAUGUACCCAUGCUAAUUAUAUGCAUUUAUUUAAAGGAAAACUAAUGAAAAAAUGCUUGAAAACUUUGAGUUUUAACGAUAAGGGAAAAAUAAAGGGUAAAGUGAAUAGUACUAGAAUUGAUUUUUUAGUGUAAAAAUGUGGUUUUAGUUAAAGUGAACGGUACCGGAUGUUUUUCGUUAAAGUUCCCUUUAUUUUAUGUUUUAAAAUAUAUCAAUAGUUAUUUUUUAAUAUGUUAAUAAUUAUGUGGGUACAUUAUUUUUUUGCUAUAAUUUUUGUGAAGAACAAUAUUACUCUAAAAUUGAUUUUUAAGUAUUUAUUAUAUUUUAAAAAUAUUAUUUGAAUUUGUUUAAAUUUCAUAAUUGGUUGGACAUUAAAUGCAUAAAUGUAUGAGUUAAGUCUCUUAAAUGAGGCUAAGGACAUCGGUCAAAAUAUUUAAACAAACAAGGUUUCAGUCUAACAAUUAAGUUGAUUAAGGAUCGGAACCAAAAUGACCCUAUUUAUUUUCUUUGAACUAGCCUUCAUACAUGCGCUUACGCGCGUGCAAAAGAUAUUUUUUGAAUUACGAUGUGCUACACAUGUGACAACUCGUCCCUACUUUUACGAUUUUAUUAAUUUUAGAAGAGUGAAAGGACAAAAUUGCCCUUUGAGACGAGGAGGUUGACUUUCGUUGACUGCCAUGUCAUGUCAUGUAAGACUCGUUUUCUUGGCGUAUCCUCGUAGUACUCAUCGCUACGAAUGCGUAGGUGCAAACAGAACAUAAUUUGGAGUUAUAACAAAGAAGUUAUUAACGAACAAAGUUGAGGACAAAAUGGUUAAUUAAUUAUUUUCAGGAAGGCUCCAUAUUUUUUAAGCUAAAUCUGGAAAGCCACGUGUGUCGCUGAGAUUGAAUGGAAGGAGAGAUGGUCGAUGGAGAUGGAAAAUAAAGGAGAAAAAUGAGGGAUAGGUAAGGACGAAUGGAGAGAUGGGGGAGGGUGAUUGACCAAUGGGAAAGAGAAGAAAGGAAGAAAAAUGAGAGAGUGAGGGAGCACCAGAUCACCCUUGACCCAAUUCCUCCCCACUGACCCGACCCGUUCCGCAGCCAUUCCGACGGUUUUCCGUCAAUUUAUCCACCAAAUUGCAGCCAUUCACCAUCUGGGAACUUCUCACCAGCCCUUUUUCUUCAAUUUCCACCCAUGAUUGACGGGUUUUUGACCCCUAGUUUCACAAGAACACCCACGUCGGCUCCGAGGGAUGCACGGCAGCGAAUCUGCCAUUCCUGCAGUGAUUUCUUUCAAUUGUCACCACCAAUAACCCUCCCUUGAGCUCAAGAACAAUGCCCAAUCAUUGGUUGGAACGUCGGAGUUGAUUUGAGGACAAAUCAAGAACACCCAAAUUCUAGGGUUCCGAUGGGUUCGUGGGGAUUUGAAGCAUUUCCCGACCAAAUUGAACUUGGCCAUAGGUAUAAAAUUUGUUCUACUCGUUGAGAUCUUCAUUUUUGUGAAGUUUGAGAAUUUUUAGAAAUAGUUGAUUUUUCAAGCGAGUUGGGGUUGUCGACCGCCGUGUACGGCGGCACGUGGGCUGAGGCAUCCCUUGACCUUCCUAGGCUAAAUUUGAUUCUCCAAUUCCGUACGUGAAGUUCGAUUGACAAAUUUCUGUCGUUUGAACCUAGUUCCAUUAAGGUCCGUCACUUGAUUAUUAUAGUAAUUGACAAUCUGACCGUUAGAUCAUCACCAAACUUUGAUACAUUAUAGUACGUAAUAUUUGAGGAUAUUAGAAAUUUACAGAUCUGGAAUCUGACGUACGGAUCUUCCCGAAUAAGAUAUGUAAGUUGCGUGUUCUAUUGAUAAGAAUUCUGAGACGUGAUUUGAUAAUUGUUCUAGGCACCGAUCGUUCUUGACACCUCGAUAUUCGUGCUAGGGAGUUGUAGUGCAGACUUCAGGUGAGUGGGUCUUUUUCCUUUUUAUAAUGUGUAUAUAUAUACCUUUUGAUUUUCCAGAAAUGUUUUAAAUUGAUUAUGCAUAGCAUGCCAUGAUUUAAAUGUGUUAUAUUUAAAUAUUUCAUUGUGAUGAGAUUUGUGGUUAUGCCAAAUGAUCCUACGGAGGCGCAGGUAAGUUCAGGUGAGUUAUUAUGUGAUUGAAAUGGUUGAGCAUGCAUAUAUUCAUUUAGAGCUCAUCAUUGUUGCACUCAUGUGUUAGUGCUCCCACCCCGGGCUAGGGCACAACGUUCAUGUGAUUGUUCACCUCCCGCACCUCACGUUCACCUUGGAUCCAAGUUAGGUGCUAGCCUGUCGUAUAAGUUGCAUUAAGCGACUCCGACUCGUAGGUGACCCGAGCAUAGCGCUAUCUUUCACGUGAUCGUAGCACUAGAGUGUACAUAUAUACACCCAGCCUGUCGUACAGGUCACACUAGGUAACUUCGACUAGUGUGCUAGCAUAGAUUGAUGAGCAAUAGGUCUAGUCGUACAUGUCACAUUAGGUGACUCCAACUGGCAUGUUAGUUUAGAUUGAUCUCACACUUGGCUUACAUUUAUUAUUGCUAAGAUAUUGUGGCAUGUCAUGCUUCUGUUUUUACUGCACCUGUGUAUUCAUUUUGCGUACCUACGUAGUAUUAGUUUCUGGAAACUAUACGGGUUUUACGGCGAGGAGUUAUAACGCUUUCAAAAGGUUUUUAUUAAAACUUUAUUUUCAAGCCCACUCACCCUUGUUUUUUGCCACUCCAUGUUCUAGUAGCAGAGUUUUCAUACCGACAAGGAUUAUCGGUAAAUCUUGGGGUAGACGAUUACCAUCGAUGGUAUAAUUCUCACCCUAUUUUACUGUACUGUACUUAUACUCUAUCAUCACGUGUGAAAUGGGUUCAUACCCGCUCACUGCGCACUCUUGUAUUUAGGCACUUUUAGGUUUAAACUAGCAAGUAUGCCCGCAUGUUGCAGGUUUUAAAGCAAUAUAAAACAUGUAAAAGGAUAUAUAUAUAUAAUGAGGAACAAAAUAGGUGUCCAAGGUUGAGGUACUAUUUACAUAGAUAUGAAAAUUCAUUUUCAACCUUAUUUACAAUGAGGAACAAAAUAGUCCAAGGUUGGAGUAAUAUUGCACACAUGAGUAACAAAAUAGGUGUCCAAGGGUGGGGUUCUGCAUUUCUUCUCACCUGUAAGUUUUCUUUUGUCUGUUACAUUACAGAUUGGGAAAAUGGAAGUUGUUAAUGUAAAUAAAUGAGAGUCUUAGUGUAAAUGAGUCUUAGUGCAAAUGAGAGGACAAAAUAUAGGCGUGGUUUGAACUAUAGAUAAAAACAAUGAAAAUAAGUUGAAGAGUAUUGCCUUAUUUAAGAACAAAGGUCCUAAACUUUAAAUCCUAUAUGAAUCAAGUUUCUGAAACCAUUCAUAUUCAAAUACAUUUAAUUAUUAGAAGCGAUAUUAGAAGGAUGAAAAAAAUAGCCUAUGACAUAAGGUAUCAUAAAUUAAAAUUAUCAACAAUCUCCUCUAUCUUGCUCAAAUAAUAUGUAUCUAAUAACUUUAGAAUACCUAUUCCCAUUACAAAACAUAAAGAAGCUACAACCAUAACAAAUACAUUUAAAUACGCAAAUAUGCAGCAAAUCCCUAACACCAUUGCAAGCAAUUAAGAAAAAAGUGCCUCUUAAAUGAACCACCAAAUUCAAAUUAACAAUUUUCUCCAUAAAAGAAAAAGAUACCUGAUUCGGUUCAAAACAGUUCAAAUUCCACAACCCCGAACCAAAUGGGGUUGUAAUUUGACGUAAUGGGAUGGCUGCAUCCAAACGAAUAGCUUCAAUCAAUUCAAGUCAACGAAAUAUCAAUAAUUUAUCCAAAAAAAAAAAAAUUCAAAUAAUGAACACCAGGGGACUGAGGAAGAGGUAAAAUCUGAGACAAAAAAAAAAUUGAAAUUUUAGAGAUAUUUUUAUUGGAAUCAGAUUCUCUUACUCGGAGAUGGAAUAGAAAGUGCUAAGAGUGGUAGAGGGGUUUAGGCGUCCGUUUGAAGCCAGAGCGGGAAAAAUGGAAGCAAACCUCCUACAAUUCAGAAAACCCAGAUGAAAAACUGAAAACAGUUUUUGAUGAUGAGUCGUACCUAGUUCGAGAGAGGAGUAGUGCUGCCAGAGAUCUCUGGUGAAAAUACUAAAGAUGGACCAAACCAUUGGACAAAGAUAACCCAGAUUUUUAAAAUUGAAAUCACAAAAUUUUGAACAAAGAAAAGAGAACCCACAACUAAACCAGAAACAAAUACGUCGGAGAAGUAUUCAUGCAAAGGAAAUCCGACAGCGACUUGAAAAAAAAAAGAUGUGAGAGAGACAGAGACGAACCUACUUGCAGAGACCAGGGGUUCGGGUCUUGAGCGAGAGAGCGGAAGAACUGGAGAAAUAUGUUUUGGAAGCAAAUGGAAGAGCCCUGGCUUUCCAUCCUUCUUGCCUUCACGAUGAGCAACACGUGUAUAGAAGGGGUAAAUAAGCAAAUUCAAUGUGCAACACACGUUAUAAAAACCUUAGAUGAGUGGCAAAUAAAGGGCAAACUCGUCAAAGCACUGUUAAUGAACAGUAACCGAAACUGAGUUUUAGUGUAUAUAAUUUAUUCACAUCUUCCACAUCAAUACACUUUAUGGUUUCAUCACAUUCCAGAUGUCGGCCAACACAACUUGAUUCGAAGUCCUAGUGGACAUCCCGGGUUGGGGUGUGUCAACGUGCGACUUACACGUUUUAAAUGUAUUUAUAUGUGUGAAUUGCUUCAAUAUUUUUUUUUAUGACAAAAAGAAAGUCAAAUAUUUGAAGUAAAUGAAUAAUAUUAGACCAUGCUAGAAGAAACCAAUCAAAGUAGGUGAAUCCACAUAAUAAAAUUGGUUUUUCAAUUUUCAUCUACAUUCUAUUGAAUUUACAUUAAGAAUAGAGAAAAUAAUAUUUCAUAAACAACUGAUAGAAUCACAUUAUUACUAGCUCAUUGUGAGGUUAAGCCCACCCCCCCUCUCUCGUAGUGUCCCCUACAUUAUUUGAUGCAUUAUUUUGGGAUGCUUUUGAAUUUUUUUUGUUUUGGGGGCCUUUUUGUCCAAAUUGUUUUGGUGAAGCUGUGACCAAUAGGGGUUUGCUGGCUUUAUAUAUAGAGAUAACACCAUUUGUUAAAAUAAAAAGAUUAUUUGACAACUAAUUGAAUCACAUUAUUAUGCGGGUGCAAAAAACCUUUUUUUAUAACUAGCACUAUGCACCUCCUAAGUGUUUAAAAGUAGAUAAAAUAAUAUUUAACAAACAACUAAUUAAAUUACAUUAUUAUGUGCGUGCAAAAGGCCUUUUUUUAUCACCGGCGGUACGCAUCUUUUAAGAUGUUUUGAACGUGCUUAAAAAUAGAGAAACUAAUAUUUUACAAAUAACUGAUUAAAUCAUAUUUUUGCUAACCCAUUGUGAGGCUACACCCAACCCCUCCCCUUAAUGUAGAUAAUAUCGUUUGUUUGAAAAGAAAAAAACAAUCAUUUGACAACCACUUGAAUCACAUUAUUAUGUGCGUGUGAAAGACCUUUUUUUUAUAACCGGUACUACGCGCCUCUUAAGAUGUUUUCAAAGUGUUUAAAAAUAGAGAAAAUAAUAUUUAAUAAACAAUUGAUUGAAUCACAUUAUUGUUAGCUCAUUGAGGCUAAGCUCACUCCAUAGUGUAGAUAAUAUAGUUUGUUUAAAAUAAAAAAAACAAUUAUUUGACAAUUAAUUGAAUCACAUUAUUAUACGCAUGCGAUUUAUAACCGGCAUUACAUGUCUCUUAAGAUGGUUUGAAUAUUUAAAAAUAGAUAAAAUAAUAUUUAAUAAACAACUGAUUGAAUCACAUUAUUGCAAACCUAUUGUGAGAUACUAAUUAUUAAAAAAAUUUGUACAAAAAUAAUUAAUUAUUAAAAAACACAGUUUAUAUGACGAAAAUACUUCUGCAUUAUUUAGUGCAUUAUUUUGGGUUACUUUUGAAUUUUUUUGUUUUGGGGGCAUUUUUGACCAAAACUUUUUGGUGAAGCCGUGACCCCAAAAGGGUCUGCUGGCUUUAUAUAUAGAGAUACUAUUUGUGGUUUGUGUCUGGUUGUGAGACAUGAAUAAUUCUUCCAACUUUUGUUAGUUUUCGUGGCAUGUUGGUUGUUGGAGUUUUUUUUUUUUUGUCUAACAUGUAUUGAUGUGUAUUCUAAAUUGGUGUGGUGAGACUGAGUGAUACAUAUAUGCUAAUUCUUCCAUGUAAUGCAAAAGCACAAGGUUGUGAAUUUUAAAGUAUCCGUUACCACCUUCGAAAAUCAUGCCCCCAUUUUUUUCCAUCCAUUUUUCUUAUUUAAUAAAGUCUUGUGACCCCAAAGUAGAGUUCUGGCUUUUUAAUAGUAAAGAUAUUAUAUUGUGUUAAUAUUGAGCUUUGUCCUAUAUAUAAACCCCAAUUUUCGAUCGAAUUCCAUCAUAUCAUUUUGUGUAUUUUUAGAAUUAACAGUCACCUUUUUGUCAUAGUCCAAGUUUUUUUCUACUAAACCAAUUUUAACUUUUAAGCCAUUACGAACUCUAUAUGAUUUCAAACAGGGUCCUCGAAUUGGAAUGGAUUUGUAAACAUAUAGCAGGCGCCGCUUGAUAGACGGGAUGGCUUUGAUAGAUUAUUCAUUGUAAUAAAGGCAUUUUAGAGGAAGAAAUAGAUGACAAAUUCGUUAUUUUGUCCAUGUUGGUAGUUACUCGUGAAAAAAAUGCAUCCCUUAAAAGGGAGAACUAUUUUUCAUGAGUAAUCUUCAACUUAGACAAAAAAGGAAUUUGUUCAUUCAUUUUUUUUUUCCCUUUAAAAUGCCUUUACUAUGGUGACUAGUUCUAUUCAAGCUAAUUUUCUCCAUCAAACGAGGUUUAAGAGCUCAACCAGCUGAAACCAGAUUAGGGUUUUUAAUUGAAAUAUUUUAAUACAAUUUUAAUGUAAACAAAAUCAGAUUGCAAACAAGAAGCACUAAUGUUAGCACCAAUGCUGGGAAAAGAACGCUAGCACAGGUAUAGUGGCAAAGUCAUGAAUUGUCGAGAGGAAGGGCAAAAACUAAAAUGGUAAAAGGUCCAAAAAAUGUAGACAGCCAGACCAUUUUAGAUAGUAGACAAUUUUAAUGUCGUUAUAAUUUGUCAAUACAUACAAGUUACAAUUGUUGUCAACGAGGUGGUGGCCUGUGGUGGCUGAAGACGGUGGUGAGUUGGCUGGGCGGCGGCGGCAUGCUGAUGGCCGCUGGUUCCAAUGUAGAAACUUGUGUCUUCUUUUUGUCUGGACACAAGCACUCCACUUUACUGUUCGUGUGUGUAUAAUAGUGGACGAGUGGUCCCCCGUUUUGUUAUAUAUAUAUGAAGCCUUUAAGGGAAGAGAUUCUCAUUUUUCAAAAAAAAAUAGGAACACUCUCUUGACCGUUAGAUCUGGCUUUAAUGAAAUUAUGUGGUUGAGAUUUUGUGGCCUGUAAUUUAAUGUCAACCGCAGAAUUUCAUUAAAGUCAAAUCUAACGAUCAAGAGGAUGUCCCUUUUUUUAAAAAAAAUAGGGAUCACUUUCCUUAAAGGGCCUGUAUAUAUAUAUAUAUAUAUAUAUAUUAACCACAGUAAUAAGACCAUUUCUUUUUCUUUUCUCAUGCCCAAAACAAUACCGUUUGGGCCUAGGUCUAGAAAGAAAAAAGUCGAGUGCAACAACGGUGAUAGUAACCUUCAUUCAAGCAUUUCGUCAAUGACCUUCAUUCAAGCAUUUUGUCAAAUAUGUGAAUUUUCGACGACCGGAGGGGCGACUGCAUCUCCGUGUGUUGCUGUGGCUUUUGCCAAUGCACGAGCGGUGGACUUUUCUGACUCAAAUUAACUAAUAUCGUUGGUGAUAGUUGUUGAAACAAAAGGUCAAUUUGUUAUAUAAUUAUGGCAAUUGUCAAUGUUAUAAAAGAAAAUGGUUUAUUUUUUAUUAUUCCUUUGUGUCUUGAUUGAUUUCAUUUUCUUUUUGUAACUUAAAUCGUUCUACUUAACUUCUAAAACUUUAUUUCCGUCACGCCUUACAUGGAUUAUGUCAAUUAUGUAAAAUGGGAGUCAAAUUUUCUCAUACAUCAACAAAUUGGCCAAUUUCACGGAGUUGACAGAAUCCAAGCAAUGUGGGAUGAAACCAAAUUUUAAAGGGAUUAAGUGGAAUGAUUUGAGUUUUCAAGAAAAAGUGAGGCUAAAAUCGAGUUUCAUAGGGAAUAUAUAACAAAUAAAAAGACAAUUAAGCCACUACAAUUGUUGCAAUAGUUGGACAACAAGAGCUGGUCCUAGACCAGCAGCUUUUGUGCCUAAACAUUAGGGGUGCUUGUUGCCGCUAGUAAUUUCGACACUUUAGGGGUGGGGAUGAAGAUGGCGGUUUACAUACAACCGAGGUAUCUCUUUAUUAACAUGUGGGAGCAAAAGAGUUUAGAUUUAUCAAGACCUCAUCAUAGUCAAUAUGGACCCCCACCACCCAUCAAUGCAAUGCACGGUGUUCUUCGACUCAUCACUAUUCUGAGCACUAAAUAGAGCUCCAUUUGAUCUCCCAGAAGUAGAAGCUGAAUCGUUAUAGGCUAUAAUGUGUGGGUGCUUUAUCAGAUGUCGAGCCCACUAGUUCUAUGCAUCAAACUGCUACCUUUCCCACCCCUUCCUCCGAUGCCGAGUAUUGAUCUGGAGAAGGUGCAGGAAAUACAAUUUGCUAAGCACCCAGACCCAUAAUUCAUUGAAAAUGGAGUUCUUGGUACUAGUCAUUACAGACGCAUAUACAAAUGAACUCAAUUGUGUAAACCGAAAACUCAAUAUUGUUGUUACAAGAAUAGCAAAUCCUUAGGGGAGCCCCAAUAUUCUCGCAGAAUUUUGGACGAUUGAAGAACAUAAAUUCAUUUCGCAAAGCAAUGAAAAAAAAUUGAAUUAACUGAAGUGUGUGAAAAAAAAAAGAAAAAGAAGCAGAAUUGCUUAGAUAAUCAAGUAAAAUAAGGACGAAAGAGUAACUUGCACAAAAAUUUACAUUUUUCAAUUCGAUCGGAUCUAUUCGUUUGUGGAGCUAGUUACUCAAUUGCAUACAUUUUUAAAAAACUUAUUAAACUACUUUAAUUUAUGAAGAGGAUAAUUCAACUUAAAUGUAAAGAUUCGAACGCAUAGAUCAAUUGGUCCAUUUUUGAUAAUUUCAAGUAGGACUGGAGAGUAGAUAGGAACACUCUGCAUCAUUGAACCUUUUUUCUGGUGGUCCUAAAAAGCAUCUUUAAUUUGUUUUAAAAGAUGAGAGUUAAUCUUGUCCAUGUUUUGAUAAUCAAUUCACAUUAUCUUAUGAUCAGUGCGCACUACUCACGCUUUUACGUGCAAAGUCCACUUUUGAUGACCUGAAUUUGCCCUAAAUAUUUUUUUUUUGUUUUGUUUUAAACAAAAUAUUUAAUUAAAGAAUAUCAUUUUUUUAGGGAAAACUAAAAAGUAUGCGCCAGGUUGGAUGCAUUAAGCCAAUACUAGAUGAAAAAUAAAAUAGUUGAAAAAACAAUAAGAAUCUAGUGCCUAGUGGAACAUAUAAAAAGAAUGCAUUUGUCAAACUAAACUAUAGGCAAAUGAAUAUGAUCCAAAUAUUAAAUAAACGUGCAUAUGACACUUUAUCGCAAUGAUAGAAAGUAAUGAUUCAUAUAUAUUUUGGUGCAGGUUUAAUCUUUACUAAUUUCAUUCUCUUCUAGCAACUAAUAAUUUAACCUAUUAACAAUAUCGUUUGUAAAAAACAAAAAAAAAAAUUUAAAACUAUUAAACAAACGCAACUUCCAAUUGAUUAUUACAUACAUGCUAUAAUGUGAAUCGAACACUUGGUGUUGAAUAAUAAAAAAAAAAGAUAUCAAUCUUUGAUGGAUUAGGGUUUUGGUUCUUUAUUUUAUAUACCCACCAAAACCUGAUAUGGAAAUGUUCACACGGUUGCAAAAGGAGGCAUUUGGAAAUUGCAACUUCGCAAAGAUUUAGAGGAAGAAAUUUUUAUGGGUACUAGAAACAUAUAUAAGUCACAUCCGUUUCGUUUGUUACAUCGAACUAGUUUAGACUGAACUAGUUUCAGAGACUAAGUUGAAUUUGCUUGACUUGAAUUAAACUUGUUUAACUUUGGCUUGGGGUAAAUUAGAUUAGAUUAAUGAAUCAUUUAACUCGGACUUGAAUUAAGCUUGAUUAACUUGGCAUAAAAACCAUGAAACCGUGAAAACGAAUUGAACCGUGAUAAAAUAAACCAUUAAAAAUCGUGUUGACCAAGAACCGGACUGAACUGACACACCCCGUCCCGAAGGAGGGCAUGUUGGUCGUCACGUGAGAGUGACGUAAUCAUUUACACAGUUCGGAAGCUUUAAAAAAAAUACAAUUACUAAGAUGAAACACCCGAGGGUGAGUCCUACUUUUGUGAAUUCUGUCAGAACAUCGCUGGAUUCCUCGUGGCCACCAAAGCUCUGCUAUCUAGAACCUGCAGGGGCGCAAAACAAAAUUGAGUGGGUCAGUAAAACAAUGUUUUUUGAAAACAUUUCAUUUAAAACAUUUCUAACCCCUCGCUGUAAAACAUGUAUACUUUCCCAGAAAAUAACAUAAUAGCAUAUACCUUCAAAUAUCUCAAAUCAUCAAUUUUUAUUAAAACAAAAAAGUAUGCCAUGUCAUAAUGUCAAAAACAGAAUAUGGAUGCAUCAAUGUAACAGGUGAAAUAAGGAAUCAACCGGAGACCCUGCAGUUGGUCCUGUACGGUUAAUUCUAUAACUCAAUAUCCAAUCCAACCGGAGUCACCACGGUGACCUGUACGGCGCUACUCUGCACAUAAGUCGAAACUACCUGAAAUAGUCUGUACGACAAGAAUGGAGUAAUAAUACGCUCUAGUGCUUCUCUCAUCAAUCAUCUGUGCACAUAAUCUAAGGUCACCUACCAGUCGAAACCACCUCUAGUGGUCUGUACGAUUAGCAUGUCGGAACCCUCUAUCGGUCUGUACGACAUGCACGUACUUGGAUCCAAGGUGAGCGUACGGUGCGGUGAAUAAUAUAAACACUAACACCAGGGGUGCAGGUUAUGAGCUCUCAACACAAUUCACAUCAUCAAUGAUUCACAUGAAUAACAUAAAACUCACAUGUGCGUCCACAGCACCAAUUCACAUAUAUAUGCAUCAAUUAUCAAAUCAUAUAUCUCAUAAUAUGCAUGCAUGGCAUUUUAAAACAUACUUUCAUUUAAACUCAAUUUCUGGAAAAUCGAUAGUAUAUAGGUAUAAACAGAAAUACUGCCCACUCACCUGGAGUUCGCCCAACAACUCCCUAGCACAACACAUCGAGGCGUCGUGACGAUCGGCACCUAGAACAAUAAUCAAAUCCAACCUCAGAAAUCAUAUCGAUAGAAUAUAUAACUUAUAUAAAACACGUCACUACGUAGUUCGAUCCGGAAGAUCUGCAACUCAGAUUUCAAAUCCAUAACUUCCAGAGGUCCACAUAUACCUCUAGGACAUCAUCUUAAAAUUUCAUUACCAUCCAACGGUCGGAUCUCCGUCAAUUGUCGAAACCGAGUGACAGUUAACAUUCUAUUUUAUGAACUUACAACUCCAAUUCCAGAAGAUCCGUAAAUCAGAUUCCCAAUCCGUAAGUUCCUAUAAUCCUCAAAUAUUACGUAUUACAAUGUAUCAAAGUUUGGUGACGAUCCAACGGUCGGAUCGUCAAUUCACAUUUUCACCUAACCACGAAUCGUAACGAACUUAGGUUCAAUUACUCAAUUUACGUCCAUCAAUUAUCAAAACUGAACCUAGAACCUAAAACACAUGCUAAGAAUGACAUUGGCGGGCCAUUGGCCACGCGCUACCGCACGGGCCGCCCCGGCUCGCCGGAAAAUCCAACUAUUUCAAAAAAUUCUCAAACAAUACAUAAUUGAAGAUCUCAAUGAGUAGAGUAAACUUUAUACCUGAGGACAAGGCCAAUUUGGCCUGGAAGAGCUCCAAUUUCACCAAAAUUCGUGCGGAACCCUAGAAUUGGGUGAGUUCCAAUUCGUCUUCAAAUCAACUACGUCGUCCCAACCAAUGCUUGGGCUUUGUUCUAGGUCCUAAGGGAAUGCUAAAGGUGUUAGUAAUUGAAAGAAAACAUUUCAAGAUUUGAAGAAUUUGAACAAGAAAGUCGCGACACCCACGGGUGCGUUCUUCACCAAUUCACCAUCAAAUUUCAUGAUUUUUGGGGUGAAACAUGAAGAGGGAAGGCCUAGGUGAUGAUUGGAAGUGGUACCUUGAUCCAAUUUGUGAGAAUUCCGGUGAAAAUCGUCGGAAAAAUGGAGAUGGGUGCACGGGUACAUGGGUUGGGGAAAACCCGUUUCUUCCUUCUCUCAUCCGCUUCUCGCUCUCUCUCAUUUCCUCCUUUCUUGCUUUCUGAUUGGCCAGUCUCCUCUCUCUCUUCUCCCCAUUCGCCAGCUCUCUCUCUCCUUUCUCUCCCGGAGCUCCUGCUCUCUUCCUCUGGUUGGGUAGUUUUUGCCCAAUCUCUUCUUCUUCUUCUCUUUUCUUCCCCAUUUCCCGUCACAUACAGACACACACAAAACCUUUCUAUAUCUUUUUAUUUUUAUUUUCUUUCUCUUACAUCCAAGCCAUCCAUUUCAGAUUUCCUUUAAUCUGGGCCAUCCAUUUUCAUAAAAGAAAUUCUAGAUUUUACUAAAAUUAUAAUUCCUUAAAAUCCCAAAUUUCAAAAGUUAAUAACUUUUUCAAUAUAACUCCAAAUCAAGAACCAUCAGCGCCCACACGUCCGUAGCGACGAGUACUACGAGGAUAUAUCAAGAAAAUAAAUCUUAGAUGGCACGACACAACGAUUAACCUCGAAUGAUGCACGUGCCUAAAAGGGCAUUUUUGUAAAAUACUUUAUUAAAACUUUAAAAACUCUUAAAAUUAGGGACGGGCUGUCACAAUCUACCCACCUUAAAAAAAAUUUCGUCCUCGAAAUUUACACAAUCUUUACAAUUUAUCGAUAUCCAUAAAACAACCUGGAACACAUCCCUCUCAUUCGAUCUUUUGUCUCCCAAGUAGUUUCUUCUGCUGAAUGAUUCCUCCAUAAAACUUUUACCAAGUACACUGUUUUAUUUCUCAGGACUUCCUCUAUCUAUUCCAAAAUAAUCAUGGGUUUCUCAUUAUAAGUCAAAUCCGAAUUAAUCUUUAAGGGCUGAACCAGAAUCAUACACGACGAAUCUGCUACUUUGUAACGGAGCAUCAAAACAUGAACUACACUAUACACCUUACCCAAUCCCGAAGGUACUCAAACUUGAAAGUAUUUCACCGAUUCCUUCAAUAGUCAAAGACGGCCUGAUGUACUUAGGAUUUAACUUGUCUUCCAUUUCGACCCGAACCGCACCUUUCCAAGGUGAUAAUUUCAAAAACAUCCAAUCUCCUGCAUUACACGUCCGGUCAGUGGCAUGUUUGUCUGCUAAGCUCUUCAGCCGAUCCUGGCUCACUUCCAGGUUAGACUUAAUUACUUGAAUAUUCCAAGUAGUGUCAUCCACUAACUCAGGGCCUUGAAUACCAUCCGUCCACAAUUCUAACAAUUUCGAAACACAAGACACAUCUUUCCACGACCUUAUGGCGUUGCUCUAGAUAACAAACUGAAAGGACCAACAUACCCAAGAAGUUCAACAGAUCCGUAAGCCCAAAUCACUUUUCCAUAAGACAGAUAAAUAACUGUUGCACUUCUGGAAAGAUUACUGCUCUUUCAUUGAAGAAUAAUGCGCUGAUUUAGUAAGCCAAUCAAUUAUCACCUCAAUUUCAUCAUAACCAUCUCGUGAAUGAGGAAACUUGCACACAUAAUCUAUAUUAAUAUUUUCUCAUUUCCGCUGUGGAACGGGAAGUAACUACAUCAAUCCAAAAGACUUCUUUCUUUCCAUUUUAACCUGCUGACAGAUGUUACAUCUAUUUAUAUAUACAAACAUUUCUCUUUUCAUACCUGACCAAUAGUAAAAUGAUCGAAUGGUAUAAUACAUCUUAGUACCUCCAGGAUGCAUUGUAUAAGUUGAACAGUACGCAAAUUCCAAAAUUGCUUCCUUUAAUUCCAUAACAUUAGGUAUAAACACCUUGUUCUCUUGCAUAAGCUUGCCAUCUGAAUCUCUAACUCUGAGGUAUUUCUUUUUCCCGUUAUUCCUUGCUUGAAAUAAAUUCUUGAAUUUCUUCGUCAAACGCUUGAGUCUCGAGUACGACCUACCAAAUAGGCCUAACUUGAAAAUUAGCAAGUAUGUUUUCUUUCGAUCUUCCAUUCCCAACUUUACUCCAGUAGAUCUCAAAUCCACAAGAAGAUGAACAUGGCAAUCGUACCAAGUAUUAAUUCUCGCUGGGGUCUUCCUGCUAAAAGCAUUGGCCACAACAUUUGCACGAUCACCCUGGUCGUGCAAUCAUAAUCACUAAGCAACACAAUCCACCUUCGUUGCCUAAGAUUAAGAUACAUCUGAAUAAACAGAUAUUGGAUACUCUUUUGAUUCGUAAAAAUCUUGCACUUUUCUUCCCAUAAAGACAAUGUCUCCUCAAAGCAAAGAUGAUAGUUGCUAAUUCUAAAUCAUGAGUAGGGUAAUUCAUCUCAUGAGGUUUCAAUUGUCGUGAAGUGUAGCAAUCACUCUAUCAUGUUGCAUCAACACACAUCCUAACCCAUUCAAGGAUGCAUCACUGUGGACCUCAUAAUUACCUUUAUCAUCUGGGAGUGCUAAAACAGGUGUAUGAGUGAGAUAAUGCUUCAGUUGCUGAAACUUUGUUCACAAUUUUCAUCCACUCAAACCUAACUUCUUUUCUAGUCGAUCCCGCCAAUGGCAAAGCAAUGACUGAAAAAUCCUUUACAAACGUUUAUAGUAGCCUGCUAGACCAAGAAAACUCAGUACCUCAGUGACGGUUCGAGGUUGUUUCCAAUUCUCCCCAGUUGUCACUCAUUGAGGAUUUACUUGAAUACCUUGUGCAGAUAUCACAUGUCCCAAAAAUGCCACUUGAUUCGUCCAAAAUUGACAUUUGCUAAACUUAGCAUACAACCGAUGUUCCCUCAAACAUUUUAAUACCAACUCAAAAUUACUAGCAUGCUUUACUUUCAACUUAAGAGUAUACCAGACCUCAACUCUUUUCCUUGAAAACACAUAGGCACCUCUAAACUGAUCAAACAAUUAUCAAUGCGCGGCAAUGGAUAACGGUUCUUACUCAUUACCCGAUUCAAUUACCUAAUAUCCAUACAUAUUCUUAAGGUCCCGUCUUUCUUCCUUAUAAACAAAGCUGGGGUUUUCCAAAGUAAUGUACUAGGUUGACUGAAACCUUUAUCAACCAAUUCCUGUGACUGAAUUUUCAAUUCCUUUAACUCUGUAUGAACCAAUCUAUAACAUAAAAUCUAUACUUGAAGACAAUUCAAUAGUGAGCACCACAUCUCUGUCUGGUGGCAAUCCAGGUAAAUCAUUCCAGAAACACAUUAGGAAAAUGUCUACCACUCGUACGUCAUCCAUAAUACUAGGAGUACGAUCCUGCAACACCACAUGAGCUAGGUAUCCUUGGCAACCUUUUGAUAACAAUCUAUUUGCUCUCACAACAGAAAUAACGGCAUGUCUCACUUCACUUUGCUCACUCACAAAAGUAACCUCUGAUAAUCCAAGACAAUGGAAAGUAACUGAUUUCCCGUAGCAAUCCAUAUUGGCACGAUUAUAAUGUAACCAAUCUGUGCUUAAAAUCACAUCGAAAUCCACAAUGUCUAACGGGAUACGAUUCGCUGGCAUAACUACUUCUCCCACCAUCACUGGACACCCUGAAUAGUCAUAACCGACAUAGAAUGACCUACCUGUUUACUUGCUUAACGAAUCCAACAAUUAAGUUAUGGGUAUUACGGUCUGCAGCCCGCAAUAAUGAUAACUCAUUGUCGUCUCGAUAAGUAAGCAACAAUUCUUAAGGGUGCAAUAUUAUCAUUUUACUCCUCACAGGAAAAAUACAUAUAUACGCCUCGAUCGUGCUCAUUCACUACUUCCUUUGGCAACAUCGUCAAUAAUAAGAAUUAUAUUAGCCGGAGUCAGUUAGAAUGACCUGUACGGCUGAGUCUAUAGCUUGACCAUCCAUGCUAGAACAUAAGUCGGAGUCACCUAUAGUGACCUGUACAACUUACUCAUCAAUUUUCCAAGUAAUAUGUCAAGGAAGACUGAUGGGUAACAACUGAUCUUAGGGACAAUUCAGGCCUCUAUGUCUCAUCUAACCACAUGAACACAUUCACAACUUCCCACACUCUCCAAAGUGCCUAAUAUUGUACCUACGGUACAAAGAUACAUUUCCUCUACCAGAGUCACCUUGUCUCUGAUAUCUGGGAUCACUAGUAAAUCUAUCACUUCGCCUCUGACCAGUGGCACUAAAACCUCAGCUGGGAAAAUUAGCUCUAGUUUCACUUCUUUUGAAGCUUUGAGUCUUCUGAGGUCUUGAUAUAACGGAUCUUUAACUUUAUUGUCUUUCUUCUGAUUCUCAUUCUUUUCUUAUUCCUCUUUACUAUCGCUGAUCAUGUUCUCAGAGUCCUCAAUGCUCAACAACAUCUCGUAAACUCCUGGUAAAAUGCACAAUGAAUAGUGGUCGCCAAAGAACGCCACUUCUUCUUAUUAUCCAACCAAAAACGACAUAAAACCUCGACCGGAUUAGCAACAACAUCCGAAUGGAAACAAGGCAAGUAUGUAAACUCUCUAUAAUAAUAUGCCGGAGGAAUGAACUUUUCCUUAAACAAUUCUUUAAACGACUUCCAAACAGCUGUUCUUCCAAUAACAUCGGAUAACAUUCCUAUCUCCAUCAGAAUGCAGAUUCAACACUCAGAAACUAGGUAGUAUCUUGACCCACCUGUCGGGAGGAAGAUUCCCUUGACUUUGCAUAAUCCGAAACGUCUUUUCCUAAAUGAUUAAGCCAUCGAUCUGCUCCCUUAGGUUCUUCAUUUCCCUAAAGUGAUUCAAAUUUAACUUAUAACCAGUCUCAAAAGGUUCCUUUAGAUAAUAGACUGAAUCACAAUGGCAAUAGUUUCCUCCCAAACUAUUAUAUCAGGGAAAUUAGGCUCAUCCGAACUACGUGGCUCGCUACGAGGCGGUAUAGUUCUGACAGAAGACAUUAGGAAAUUCUCAAGAUGUCCAAAAUUGCAACCUAGGCUCUGAUACCAACUGACACACCCCGUCCCGAAGGAGGGCAUGUUGGCCGUCACGUGAGAGUGACGUAACCAUUUACACAGUUCGGAAGCUUUAAAAAAAAUACAAUUACUAAGAUGAAACACCCGAAGGUAAGUCCUACUUUUGUGAAUUCUGUCAGAAUACCGCUGGAUUCCUCGUGGCCACCAAAGCUCUGCUAUCUAGAACCUGCAGGGGCGCAAAACAAAAUUGAGUGGGUCAGUAAAACAAAGUUUUUUUGAAAACAUUUCAUUUAAAACAUUUCUAACCCCUCGCUGUAAAACAUGUAUACUUUCCCAGAAAAUAACAUAAUAGCAUAUACCUUCAAAUAUCUCAAAUCAUCAAUCUUUAUCAAAACCAAAAAGUAUGCCAUGUCAUAAUGUCAAAAAUAGAAUAUGGAUGCAUCAAUAUAACAGGUGAAAUAAGGAAUCAACCGGAGACCCUGCAGUUGGUCAUGUACGGUUAAUUCUAUAGCUCAAUAUCCAAUCCAACUGGAGUCACCACGAUGACCUGUACGGCGUUACUCUGCACAUAAGUCGAAACUACCUGAAAUAGUCUGUACGACAAGAAUGGUGUAAUAAUACGUUCUAGUGCUUCUCUCAUCAAUCAUCUGUGCACAUAAUAUAAGGUCACCUACCAGUCAAAACCACCUCUAGUGGUCUGUAAGACUAGCAUGUCGGAACCCUCUAUCGGUCUGUAGGACAUGCACGUACUUGGAUCUAAGGUGAGCGUGCGGUGCGGUGAAUAAUAUAAACACUAACACCAUAGGUGCAGGUUAUGAGCUCUCAACACAAUUCACAUCAUCAAUGAUUCACAUGAAUAACAUAAAACUCACCUGAUACUCACUUGUACGUCCAUAGCACCAAUUCACAUAUAUAUAUGCAUCAAUUAUCAAUUCAUAUAUCUCAUAAUAUGCAUGCAAGACAUUUUAAAACAUACUUUCAUUUAAACUCAAUUUCUGGAAAAUCGAUAGUUUAUAGGUAUAAACAGAAAUACUACCCACUCACCUGGAGUUCACCCAACAACUCCCUAGCACAACACAUCAAGGCGUCAUGACGAUCGGCGCCUAGAACAAUAAUCAAAUCCAACCUCAGAAAUCAUAUCGAUAGAAUAUAUAACUUAUAUAAAACACGUCACUACGUAGUUCGAUCCGGAAGAUCUGAAACUCAGAUUUCAAAUCCAUAACUUCCAGACGUCCACAAUAUACCUCUAGGACAUCAUCCUAAAAUUUCAUUACCAUCCAACGGUCGAAUCUCCGUCAAUUGUCGAAACCGAGUGACGGUUAACAUUCUAUUUUAUGAACUUACAACUCCAAUUCCGGAAGAUCCGUAAAUCGGAUUCCCAAUCCGUAAGUUCCUAUAAUUCUCAAAUGUUACUUAUUACAAUGUAUCAAAGUUUGGUGACGAUCCAACGGUCGGAUCGUCAAUUCACAUUUUCACCUAACCACGAAUCGUAACGAACUUAGGUUCAAUUACUCAAUUUACAUCCAUCAAUUAUCAAAACUGAACCUAGAACCUAAAACAAAUGCUAAGAAUGACAUUGGCGGACCAUUGACCAUGCGCCGCCGCGGGUGGCGGUCGGCCGCCCUGGCUCACCAGAAAAUCCAACUAUUUCCAAAAAUUCUCAAAAAAUACAGAAUUGAAGAUCUCAAUAAGUAGAGUAAACUUUAUACCUGAGGUCAAGGCCAAUUUGGCCUGGAAGAGCUCCAAUUUCACCAAAAUCCGUGAAGAACCCUAGAAUUGGGUGAGUUCCAAUUCGUCUUCAAAUCAACUAUGUCGUCCCAACCAAUGCUUGGGCUUUGUUCUAGGUCCUAAGGGAAUGCUAAAUGUGUUAGUAAUUGAAAGAAAACAUUUCAAGAUUUGAAGAAUUUGAACAAGAAAGUCGCGACACCCACGGGUGCGUUCUUCACCAAUUCACCAUCAAAUUUCAUGAUUUUGGGGGUGAAACAUGAAGAGGGAAGGCCUAGGUGAUGAUUGGAAGUGGUACCUUGAUCCAAUUUGUGAGAAUUCCGGUGAAAAUCGUCGGAAAAAUGUAGAUGGGUGCGCGGGUACACGGGUUGGGGAAAACCUGUUUCUUCCUUCUCUCCUCCGCUUCUCGCUCUCUCUCCUUUCCUCCUUUCUUGCUUUCUAAUUGGCCAGUCUCCUCUCUCUCUUCUCCCCAUUCGCCAGCUCUCUCUCCUUUCUCUCCCGGAGCUCCUGCUCUCUUCCUCUAGUUGGGCAGUUUUUUGCCCAAUCUCUUCUUCUUCUCUUUUCUUCCCCCUUUCCUGUCACAUACACACACACACACACAAAACCUUUCUAUAUCUUUUUAUUUUUAUUUUCUUUCUCUUACAUCCAAGCCAUCCAUUUCAGAUUUCCUUUAAUCUGGGCCAUCCAUUUUCAUAAAAGAAAUUCUAGAUUUUACUAAAAUUAUAAUUCCUUAAAAUCCCAAAUUUCAAACGUUAAUAACUUUUUCGAUAUAACUCCAAAUCACGAACCGUCAGCGCCCACACGUUCGUAGCGACGAGUACUACAAGGAUAUGUCAAGAAAAUAAAUCUUAGAUGGCACGACACAACGAUUAACCUCGAAUAAUGCGCGUGCCUCAAAGGGCAUUUUUGUAAAAUCCUUUAUUAAAACUUAAAAAACUCUUAAAAUUAGGGACGGGCUGUCACAGAACCGUUCAUAUCGGUUUCGAUUCUCAUGUUGGUAUAACUGCUUAAUACCGAACCAAACCGUGAAUGUAAACAAUUAACUAAAUUUAAUAGUUGUAUGCAGGUGUCACCAAAUGAGUGGUGAAAAUCAAACUGGUUUUGCCUAGUGUGACUACACGGGAGCAUUUCUCAAUUAGAUCUUUUAUUUGCACGGUUCACCUAUUGAGAUAAGUCACAUAUUUAAAAAAUGAGGUCAUUUUCUUUCAUAGAUCUCCAAAUGACAUUCAAGUUUCAAUUUCAUAUUUUUCUUGGAUAGAAUGAUCUUAAGGUGUUAAGUUACUUCCUACUUUUUUCUUUCCCUAUUUCUUAGGGCUUUUUUUUAAUCUCUUGAUAAGUCCCUUUUGGGCUUAAAGUAUUAUAUUUGUACCAACAUUCUUACCCCAAAGUCAAUAUAUUUGUAUGUGUGGAUGUAUAUUUGUAUUAUGAAUAUAUAUGUACAUUUGAAUUGUGUUUCUUUUUUGGGUAAAUUACAUAAAACUAUCUCAACUAUUGGGUCAGUCACGGUUUCAUACCCCAUCUUUAAAAAAUUUCAAUGUCAUACAUCAUCUACAAAUUUUUUACAAUUUCAUACAUUCUGUCAGUUUUCUAUCAAUUCUUCCGUUAAAUAUUGACGAGGCUUAAGACGGGGCCCACUCUUUAUUAAAAAAUUUUAAAAAAUAAAAUAUUAAUGAAAUAUUAAAAAACUAAAAAAAAUCAUUUAAUAUUUUUUUUUCAUGGCGAACCCACCCCGUAUCCCCUCACCCUUUCUUCCCCUUCCCAUCUUUCCCAAACCUAAACCUAGAUCCCGUCCACCCCUUCUUUCCGACUGCCAUUCUUUGCCACAUCAACAAUCUCAUCCACAACUCCCAGCCCUUCCUCCCUUACCUCUCUCAACGCCCUAUCUCCGCCACAUCUGAACAAAUUGAGCAGUGCACCCACUGCAUUCUCCUUGCUCUUCAAGCUCAACCCGGUCGAGAGAUCCAGCAAAUCCGCACCCUUCCUCAUACCUGACCACCUGCGUAAUCAUUGUUGCGGUGUCAUCCGCGUCGUCUUGGAAGGAAGGGGAGGAGUCGAAGAGGGUUUCAGACAAGGUAUAGGGUCAGGUUCGGCAACAAGAGGGUGGUUGGAGAGUAAAUUCGGGAUCUUGGUGGCCAUGGGAGGGGGAGGGGGAGGGAUUUGAGGGUUUGAAGGGGCAGGGAAAGAGGCCAGAAGUGGUACUGGAGUAAAGAGAGGGUCGAUUAACCCAAUUUGGUUAAGGCAGAGUUCGUUAGAGCGAAGAUGGUGAGAGAGGAUGACUGCGGGAUGAGGGACUCGGGUAGUGAUAGGUGCAGAGAAGACAAGAGCGAGGUGGGUGGGAUCUGGGUUUGGGUUUAGGGAAGAUGGGAGGGGGAAGAAAGGGUGAGGGGAUAAGGGGUGGGUACCCUAUGCAAAAAAAAGUUUUAAAUGAUUUUUUUUUUAGUUUUUUUAAUAUUUAAUUAAUUUUUUAAUAGAGAGUGGGCCUCGUAUCAAGCCACGUCACUAUUUAACGAAAGAAUUGAUAGAAAACUAACAGAAGAUAAAAUUCGUAGAUGAGGUAUGACAUUGAAAUUUUUUAAAGAUGAGGUAUGAAACUAUGACUGUAAUACCCUAAAAAUUUAAAUAUAUGAAUAUGUGGAGAAAAAUUGAAAAUAAAUUGAUUUAUGGUUAUGAAAAAAUUGAAUUGAGAACUUUUAAAGUUUUGUUUCAGGAAAUUAUUAUAAUUUACGUCUUAAAAUUUAUCGACAAGUGAAAAAGACGAAAAUGCCUUAGUUGGCUUAACGUAAUUAUACGAGGACAUAUUUUAUCCUCAUAUAUUUUAUCGGAUUUCUUGAUAUAAUUGAAUAGAGAAUGACCCUACGAAUGUGUAGGCAAAAACUAUUCGUGAAACAAAGUUAUAAUGAAGAAACUAUUAACGAUUGAAAUUGAGGGCAAAAUAGUCAUUUUGCCAUUAAUUUGGAAGGCUCCAAAAAAUCUGGAGCAAUGGGAGUGCCACGUGUGUGGCUGUGAUGAAGAGGGAUGGAGAGAAAGGAGAGAGGGGGAUUGGACCAAUCAGGAAGAGGGAAAUGAGGGGACAGGAGAGAAGAAUGAAAGGGGGGAAACUGGUUGACCCGAAUAACCCAUGGACUCGACCUGUUCUCCCACCAUCCCGAUGAACCUUGCCAAUACAAACCUCGCCACCAUCCUCAAAUUAAUCAACCUCUUCACCUCGUCCAUUUCCACCCAAAUUUUAUUGGGUUUGAGCUUGAAUUCAGGCAGAACAGAACCCGUGGGUUCAAAGGGUGCCACGAUGGAAAUCCGACGAUCGUGAAAGUAAUGUUGACCACCACCACCAUCAAACACUUAUCCCGAGGCCAGGAACAAAGCCCAAACAGUUUAGGAACGGUGGUGUUGCGGAUUGGUCAAAUUGAAGAACACCCAAAUUCUAGGGUUUCGGUAGGUUCGAGGGGAAUUGGAGCUUUUCCCGGCCAAAUUGGGCUUAGUCACAAGUAUGAAAAUUUCUCCCCUCACUAAGAUUUACUUGCCUGUAAAAUUUGGUAAUUUUUGGAAAUAGUUGAAUUUUCCGAUGAGUCGAGGCGGCCAACCGCCACCUACGGCGGCACGUGGCCAGUGGGCCGCCGAUGCUAUUUUAUGCUAAAUUGAUAUCUUGAUCUCAUCUUGAUCUCAUUUUUGACGUCGUAGUAUGUGAUUUGAUUAUUGUGAACCUAGUUUCAUUAAGGUGCAUUACUUGAUUAUUAUUUGAAUUGACGAUCCAACCGUUGGAUCGUCACCAAACUCUAAUGCAUUAUAGAAUGUAAUAUUUGAGGAUAUUAGGAACUGACAAAUUGGAAUUCCGACGUACGGAUCUUUCCGAAUUGGAUUUCUAAGUUUGUAAAAUAAAUUGUUGACCGCCACCUAAUCCUAGUAAUUGGCAGAGAUCUGACCGUUGGAUCGCGAUGAGAAUUUAGUAUAUCGGUCUAUAAGCAUAAUGCAGACCUUAGGAAGUUGCAGAUCUGAAAUCCGAUGGGCGAAUCUUCCGGAUUGAAUUACAUAGGAUUGUGGACCCUACCAUUGAUCGAGAGUUGACUUUUGGUCAACAUGUUCGUAACAUUCUGAAUAUUAAAUUUAGUACUAUGGGAUACUAAGUGAAGUCUUGUGGGCCUACAUUGGUUUGAGAGUGACUCAAAUUUAUGGGAUAUGGUUAUUACCUUGAUUUCUUACAUUAAUAUCGUUUAUGAAUAUGAAAUGGUUAUAUAAAUGUGAUUUCCAUUUAAAUGUGAUUUUUUAUUAUAUAUAUUUAGCCAUGAAAUGAUCGAAUUUGAUUUAUGGUGGUUAAUAGAAUAUUAAUUAACCAUGAUUUUAUUUUGGGCCUAUUACCGUGAAUAGUGUUCGUACAUAAUUUUGGGGGCGUUAUAGUACCCAUUUGGUGUGAUUCAAUUGUGAAAGCUAAUGUUGAAUAUUUAUGUUACUAGAAUAUUUUUGGAAAUGGAUAAAAGAAUGAACAGUGAACUACAAAGGGCUUGAUCCCGCUCAUGGGUAAGUAGGCAUUCUAACAGGGGUUAGAUGCAGCCCUAAAUAAUUGAAAAUUAAUCUUUUGUUGAGAAGUUGUUUUAAUAGAAGAAAUUUGGGGAUUAAAUUGAUAAUUUUAUCGUAUGUUUUGAUAAUUAAAAUAUGGAUAUAGUUUUAUGAGGAAUUAAGGAAUUGAAGUAAAGAAUCGUGAUUAAUCGUAGUAAAUUAAUUAAGAGUUUAAAUUGGGCCUAUCAUUGGAAUUAUUUCCUGAAAAUAAGUAUUUCGGGGGCGGGGCGUUACAAUGACUGACCCAAUAGUUGAGGUAGUUAUAUGUAAUUUACCCUUCUUUUUUUGUUUGCUUGGUAUCAAUUUUCAUUUUGAUUUAGUAUGUGAAAAGGAUAUGUUUUGUUUGUAACUUGUAUAACCAUUUUAGAAGUUGUAUUUGAAUGCAAGUAUGCAAAAACAAAUAAACUUUAAAUACCUUUUUAUUUGGUAUUCAAAUGAUUUAGUAUUCAGAACGGUAAACUGGCAUGAACUGAAUCGAAACUGGUGUGAUACGAACCGUACGAUUUUAGUAAUAAAUUUAAGCAAAAUUGCACCAAACCAAAUCGUUGAUAUAUCCCGGUUUCAGUUCCGGUUUGAGGGUGAAACCACACCGAACCGUACUGUGUCCACCCCUACAUUUGGGUUAAAUUUUAUCAAGUAAUUCUCAAAUUGAAAAGCUCACAUUUCUGGGUCAGUUCAAUUUGCAACGGUUCAUAUCAUUUGUCGGGAAUAGCACGCCGCUCGACUCUGUAGACGAGGUUGUCGCAGUUGCUUAGAGAGGUUGGUUUCAGCAACCAGGUCGUUCGGGUGCGGGUGACGCAAUAUGUAAGGGGGUAGGGGGACUAAAGGUCGGAGGUGAGAGAGAUAUAAAGGAAAUCGGGAAGAAGGUUACUCCAGGAAAAGGUUCACGCGAAGGUAGUAGCUACGCUUGAAGAACCGCAUAUGUCGAGUGGUUUCUGGGGUUGCGUUAGCAAGGGUGGCAGGCCCUAUUAGACACCAGAUAGUACUAUUUAGUACGAAUCCAAUGUUUGGUGCCAUCUGUACUAAAUAAGAACCAGACAAAUUAAUUCGGUCCCACCUAUUUUAUACGGCUCACACUCACUAACUUAUACACUCCACAACUUAUGUAUAAUUAGUCGGGUUGCUAAAAGAAGCAUGCUCGCUGCUUUCUCGAUCCCUUUCUCGAAUCCUCUUCCAGCUACUUGCGUUUGCCAUCGUCUACGUCAAGAAUUUCUCCUCCCUCUUCUCUCUACCUCUUACCCUCCAUUUUUCUCUUUCUCCUUCUGAUUCCUUACUUGUACAAGUCACCCUAUUCGAAUCCAACCCUCUUAGCCCUAAUUGAUUAGCAACAAAGCACCUGCCUCUAAAACUCAACUGCUUUUGCAUAUCUAAAUGGGUUUCUCAUGCAAUUUUUCUACAAUUUCUUGUAUAUAUUUUGGUCGAAUUCGAAUCAAGUUUCUUUAAUCUUGGUACUAGUUUGGGGCAAAGUUUCAAAAGACAUUAGGCACUAGUUGUGCGGUAAGUUGAGGUUUAGUGCAUCGACAACUAGGUGGGGCCUAGGCGGACUUGACAAAUUUUAUUCAAUUUAUUAUAUAACAUGAAAUAGGUAUCUACCACUUAGUACUACGGUCUAGUGAUAUUAAUCUUCAUUUGUAAGUGAGAGAUUUUAGAUUUGAUUCUCGUCAAAAGGCGAAUUUAUCCAAUGGUAUAAGUAAGAUGAUGAGUAUUUAUCACCAAUUAAGGGUGGUAAGCAAAAAUACACACGUUUAUAAUUGAGAGAACAACAAGGUGAAUGCAACUAAUUUCCAAUUUUUUACUACAUUGAACCCCACGUCCCCCUUCUUCAUAGAAAACUAUGCUGCUGAGGCUGCAUAUCCCUCAGUUUCCGAGCCUGACCAUGUUUACGUCCUUGCUUCAAACUUCAGCCGACUCCAUGCUUUGAAAUUGUGUAUAUACUUCUACCAUCUUACCCUACACUCUACUCCUUCAAGCUCUCCUGAGCUUUGUUCUUUAUUUUCCUUUUUCUUUUUCUUUUUUUUUCUUUCUAUUUUUCAUUUCAAACCAUCACAUUUCAGCUCGCCUAGCCAUCAUCAGUCAUGGAUAUGGUUCAAGUACAAUGCAACCAGGUUGAAUCAGCCACAGUCAAGGCUCACUCGAAGCGAUCAACGUGCCCGUAAUUACAGCCUACGCCGCUGCGCCACCAUGCUCCUUUGCUGGUACAUUCAAGGAGAUGAUUAGCUAGUUUGACUCUCUUCUUUACACCUUAUCCCAGAAAAACUUAUUAUCUGAUCCCAUCGUCAUACCUAAUGUUUCAUCCUCUGACAACAUGUUUACGAGAUCCAUCACUGUUAUAUGAUGCGACUCACAUGCAUGUCGUGAGUGAGAGGUCACACAUGCAUGUAUGACGGGUUCAGUGCUCACUAAACCUCACCGUCCGGUCUUACUAUAACCUUUUUUCCUUGUACCUACACUACACUACUCCAUGGAAGAUGCUUGUUUCUGCUGGUCCGGUUUGGUUUCAAUUGUUGUGUGGGUUAUCUUCUCCUUGCUCUGGAGUGCCACUGCUCAGUUUUUUGACCUAAUUUUGGGGCCAACCCAACUUAGGUUUAUGGAGCACAUAAGAGGUUAAAAUUUAUGCCCACACACAUGGUUUUGAACUAGCCGGACCUUCAAAGCAUAGACACUGUAGCUGACAUGGAGGAGUCUAUCUGAAAGGCCUGUUUGAUUGACUCAUUGCAGCCUCAAUGGUCAAUAUUUACCAGUACAACUGGUGUAUGCUUUUUCCUAUUUUUCUUUAUUUUGUUUUCUCCCUUUUUCCUUCUUUCCGAAUUUUUUUGGAGUUUUACGGUAGAAAAUGUUUUCUGAUCAGAAUUCUCUCCGGAUCCUUUUUAUGGAAUCCUAGAGAUCCUCACAUGCUAACCAUUCAUUGUAUAUCGUAUGAUCAGUUUUCAUUAGGUACUAUUUGUGUUGAAUUUUAAAUAAUAAAAGUCAAAUAAUUUUUUACCGUAUGAUGUACAAAAAUGACUAAGAUGUGAGAAUCUAUAAGAUUCCUACAAUUUAAUCGGAUGGGAUCCAAAUCCAAUGUUUUCACCCUCUUUGUCAAUGUUGGAGAAUAUAAAGCUUGUAAUCAUGGGUUUGCAGGCGAUGUUGUAAGAGCAAUGGAGCACUUGCUAUAUAAUAAGUUCUAGUUGCCAACAUCUUGGUUUGGCCAAAAAUGUUUAAUAACUUGUAAUCAUGGGUUUUGCAAUGAUUGUCAUUUGGAUUCAAAUGUGACUAUAAUUAGAUAAAUUGACUCAACACCCUUAAAUUUAACUUUAUGAUUAUCUGGAUUAUAAAAUAUUAUGUGACUCUAAAUAAGUGUAAGACUUACAUGCAACAGAUGUAUAGUACUUUCUAUUUCUCUUUGCAUCUCUCAUUAAUCAUGUGACGAGAGAUGCAGAGAAGGCGAUAAACCGGUUGCAGAAAAGCCGCUCUCCUAGAACAAUCAGUAUGAAAUCCACUAUAAACAGUAAGUUCUACAUCCUUCUUGUACCCCUACUCAUAUACACACAAGAUGUGAAAUUCCACUACAAACAGCAAAUUCCACAUCCAAUCUCGUGACCCACUCAAAUGGGAUGUCGACGGAUAUGCUGUCAAGUUUGGGAAAGUUUGCAGAUUCAUCAAAUGAAACACCUAAUAAUGCCUGAAAAUAUAUUAGGUAAAAUCUAAACAAGGAUUUCCCUUAAAAUCUAAACAAGGAUUUCCCAAACGUGCCUUGUAAUCUAAGGGCUCGUUUGAAAAUACUUUUUAAAUUAUUGAAAGCAUUUUUUAUGAAAAUGUUUUUUAAAUCAAUCUUUAGUAAUACUAAAAAUCUAAGUAGAUUCUAGAAAAACAAUUCAAGUGCGCCCUGCAAGAAGCAUAUAUCUGGUGUUUCUUAAAAAAAAAAAACAUUUUAAAUACUUCUGGAUCCUAAAAUCAAUUUCACCAAAAACGUUUUCAUUCAUUUUAAAAUCAAUUCCAAACAAUCCCUAAAUCUUUAACACCAAUCAUGUUUUCAAACUUUAAACUGUUUUAAUAUUUCCACAUGCCAUCGGCAAAAAAUUUCUACAAUUGUUCAAAAGGAUAUGGAACACUUUCAGCUACUACUCAAAAGUACAAAAGCGAUGGGAUUCACCCAGACUUCCAUAUGCGAGCUAUAUGUCGACAUGGUAUUCCUUCUUUGUAUUAUGUACAACCCAAUAUAUCUGCAAAUUCGAUGUCAUUGGUCGAUUCAAUCCUUGAAAAGUAACAUCACAUAGAGGGGUACAUUUACUGCAGCGAUGAUCAUGACCAUUAGUAAUGUCUGCACCAAUCUUCUGGUCACCGUCUUUUUCCUUGAUCUGCUUGCUCUAGGCAGUAACUUUGCCAAUGGAUCAACCACAGAAUCCGCAUCAGAGUCUCCAUUCACAGAAACCUCUAUGUCCUGGGAAAUAUUCUUUCUAGCUGCGGACUGCAGCACAGCAUUACCUCUGCUAGAAAAGAAAAGAAUGUAAAGCACAUGAUAUAUCAAUGGAUAUAUAACAAUUAGAUAAGACGAGAGAAAAUCUGUUAAGGUGGUUUGGACAUGUGAAACGAAGACCUACAAAACCAAUGAAAUGUUUAGCACACACUCAAAUACCAUUCCACCACUCGCCAUCUUAAAAACGCACACUUCUUCCAUUGGAACAAUAUUCCCAAAAGACUAAUCACUAGAGGGACUCCCCAUAAUAGCUUAUACAACUCGCGUUAACUCAAUACACAGGUGAUGUGGGACUCGAUAUGUACAUACACAGCCACAUACAAUAGAAAUAGGGUAUGAAAAUGUAGGACAGAAACAAACCUUUCAACUGAGUUUCUCUCGAUUGAACGUGCAAUAGAAGUGCCUAUGGCUUUCUUGACAAGAUGCCUUCUGCAUCCCAAAUCAUCUCAUAUACACAGUUUAGAUAUUCAAUUUUCUCUUUUGUUCGACUUCUGAUGCUACUGAUUACUUGUUUUACAAUCCCCAUCAAAUCACUACAAUGAUGCCAAACACUCACACCACUAUAUGGCCAAAGCAGGAGAGAAACAAGGGUAAAAACAAAUAGUGAUAGAUACCUGGAAAUUUGUGAAAAGACAGGUAAGAGACGGAAACAAAGCCAACGGAAAAGCUUAGUUGUAUAAAUCAACACACAUCAACAUGAAGAGUUACCAUAAAUAAAUGUGUGAUUGCAUUGGAAGAAAGCACGGAUAAGUUGAGAUUGCCUCUUCAGAACUGGAUGCAUUUGAAGGUACAAAAUUACUAGCAGACAAUAACAUGAAAGACGGAUACAAGUUUCCCUGCUGCCGACUUACUAUCCCUACAGUGUACUGAAAGGUAUUUAUCAAUAAUAAAUCAUGUCCUGGUAAGAAUUAUACAUCCCAACGCAUAGAGUGCUUACCUCCCCCACAGGCCCUUUUUUGGCGUAUGGAUCACACGGCACUGAUCAUGAUCAUGACCGGAUAAAACAAGUAUCUACAGAAAUCACUCAAAAAGUUAUUGUUGCAAGUAAAAUAUAGAUCCUACAGUCUGAAUCAAUUAAUAGGGCUCUCACAGGCAAGAUGCAUGAUAGAGAGGAAACAGCACUAACCGGUUUAAUUGAAUCCAGUACGUAGUUUGAUGAUUCCUCUGUAAUGUAGUUCUGAUACCUGUAAAAUUGUACUGAAUCCUUGGCUGCCACCUACCAAACUUGCAAGAUAAUGUAGCUUUCUGAUUUCAGUUGUCCAAAACACAAGACGAGAAAACACUUACAUUACUUCUUGACCAUUAGCAGAUCGCAGAAUCCGCUAAACAUUUAAAGUACAAAUAAAAAACAUCGUGAGUUUAAAUACUAAACAUCGUGAGUUUAAAAACAUUAUGAGUACAAAUAAACUCAACAUCUGAAAAGCCAUUACAAUCUGUCCAAUCUCUUCGAUCCAAUCGAAUAUGGGUCAAUAAAACCCUUGGAUACGCUUGAACAUCUAUAAAUGAAUUAAUGGAAUAUGUUCGUUGAUCUUUUGUAUAUGGUUUCUCUAGAAAAUUAUGCAAAGUUCACACUCAGAUCGUCUUCAUUUCAAUAAUAUGCGCAUGUAAUACUAACAAAACGAAAAAGUUUUUAAGCAAUGUGCAAGACAAACAAGUAACUUAAGUUAUUAUUUAAUGGCAACAUAACAAAAACACCUUUUCCAUACGAGAGUGGAGAACUCCAUAGCCAAUGUCAUGGUUUCCAGGAAGGUAGUAAACUAGGAUAUUUAAAUAUCUGUCUCGCACCCUCAGAGAAAAAAUAUGUCUCAGACGGAUUAACGACUCAUUCCACCUAAAAUCAAGCAAACAACGGCAAUGCCAUUCCACAGAAUACAGCAAAGUCAAUCCAAGAUUGGAACAAAAAAGAACCUAACCUUAGCGAGUCAAGCAACAAUUUUUAAAGAAAACCCAACAAUUCCGAGCUAAUUCGAUAUAAAGCCAUCAGAUGAAGCAAUCAAAUCAACUAAAACAUCAACAAAGAAAGCACAUUUCACUGAAACAGCAAAAAAAACCAUUGGGCUUUCUUACUCUUCAUCUGAAAGAUAAGGACCGCCGUCAAAAUAAUCACCCAAAAUGAAAAUCACAUCGGGCCAGAGAGGAAGUACAAAUUGGUGAAACGCUCUGCGCAUGUACAGGUCUGAAGAGCUGCGCCAAUUCGAUGACUCACCAAAGCAUUUUCCCACAAAAGUUGAAUAUCAGUGAUGUCUCCCUCAUGAAGGUGGCAAUUAUGCAGACAUCACUCUUGCGAGCUUUUGCCUUUUCAAAUCCAAAUCCAAGACUCUGCGGUGCGAUAGCGUAGAGUGACGUUCCUCCUGACUUAAUUUCAGGAUAUUCUCCUUCGUGAUUCUGAUCGUACUUGAAUAUCAGUAUCAAUAACAUCGUCUUUCUUUUCACACACGCAUGAAAAAAGAAAAAAAAAAAAAAUCUCGUCAUGGCAGGGAUAAUCAAUUCAUAUCAGGAAUGAGUAAAACCAAUUAAGUAAUCGCACCGAAAUGUUCAGUGACAUCUGCAAUUCUGCAUUCCCAAAGAUUUAUGCAAUUCGCACUCCGGAUUAACAGAACUAGUGAUGUGUGCAUCGGCAGGUGUCUCAAAAUUUAGAAAUUUACACAGAAUCUAACAGUAACAGACCGAUUACAAAAAAUUUCAAUGGACAUUUUAUUUUUUAUAUAUUACUUUGUUCAUCAAUGGAUAGAAUGACUUUAUGCAAUCAAUUGCGAUCAAUCCAAUGUACGGAUAUCACAAUCAGGUUCUUCUGCGCGAUUCUUGUUCAGAGAAGGGGUGAAAGUCUAAGACAGAAAGAUCGCUGUCGUGCAAAAAUUCAUGUUUUCUGUAAUAAAAGAGUUGGAAAUGCCAAGCCUCAGAGGUUUAGACAAAACUAUAGAUGCCUCGUAGAUCUUUAAAGCAUUUACACAAGUAAUGUGGUGAAAUUCUGCAACAAUACCCAAAAUAUUUAUGUGCAAGUAUACAUAUAAAUACUUUCUUAACAAGUGUCAAAGGAAAAAAAAUAAUGUACUAGUCUUUAUCUUCAUGUUGCUGGAUGUCCCAACAUCUUUCAGCCAACUGAUAACUUCCUUGAUCGUAGGUCUCUUAAGAUGGUUCUGGUUGACACACAAGCAAGCAACAUCAAGAACCUGCAGCAUCUCUUCUUCAAAGCCUUUCCCUCUCAGGAGAGGAUCAAAAACUUCCUCAGGUUUGCCUUCUCUCCUCAUUUGCUGCACCCAGCCAACCAACUCUCUUGACCCCCUUGGCUUGCAUACCUCAAAAGGCCUUUUUCCGGUUAGCAGCUCAAGCAUGACAACCCCGAAACUGUACAUAUCUCCUCUCAAAGUGGCCACCCAUGCUUGUCCAUACUCUGGAGGAAUGUAACCAAGAGUUCCAACAAGCUCGGUUGUAACAUGAGUCUGGUACGGAAGAAUCAACCGGGACAAUCCAAAAUCAGCAACAUGUGCUUGAAAUUUAUCAUCCAGGAGGAUGUUGCUUGACUUGAUAUCACGAUGCACAAUGUGCGGCUCACAUAUUUGGUGCAUGUAAGCCAACCCACAGCCUGCUCCUCGCAAAAUAUUCAGUCGAAUUGACCAAUCUAAUUGGGAAGGACCAUCCACUUUCUCAUGUAACCAGUAAUCCAGACUCCCAUUCUCCAUAUACGAAUACAUUAAUAGGCGAACACCAUCAUGCACGCAAUAACCUUGCAGGGAAACCAGAUUCUCAUGUUGGGCAGUGGACAGUGCCUCAACUUCUGCUGUGAAUUCCCUUUCCACCAGACCCAAGUCUCCUGAGAGUUUCUUAACAGCUAGCCUGGUCCCAUUUGCCAACGUUGCUCUGUAAACCAGACCAAAACCUCCACACCCAAUGAUGUUUGCUUGACUGAAAUUGUCAGUCGCCUUCAAGAUUUCAGUUAUACUAAGAUCCUUGAUUUCAUUGGUCUUGGUUGGGAACAGUAUGACUAAGCUGGUAUCCUUGUCAAGCUCAGGAGCAACAACAGUAGAUUGGCUAGACAUGGUCUCGAAAUCCGUCUUGUCAGUAUCUCCUCCAGGAAUGAUUUUUCUAUUAGACAACAUCCACACUACUAACAAGACAACAAUAAAUACAAUGCCAAAACAGAUCCCAAAGGUGAGCCCAAUAAGAAGGUUUCUGUUAGAUCUUCGACCAGCAGGUGAUAAAGGUUGAGGGCAAGUGAUGUGAGCAGUUGGAGGGCCGCAUAGUCCAGCAUUCCCUUCAAAGCUGGAGUUCAUAAAAGUAUCAAACUGACCUCCAGAUGGUACAAGUCCCUUAAGAUCAUUGUAAGCCACACUGAAGGAAGACAAGAAAUGCAGACCUUUGAGAGAAGCAGGGAUUUCACCGGAAAGAUGGUUAUAGGAGAGGUCCAAUUUCUCUAAGUUGGUCAGGUUAGAAAUUUGUUCCGGGAUGCAGCCAGUGAAGUUGUUAUGACUGAGGUCCAUCACAUGAAUAUACUUCAAUUGACCAAUCUCAAUGGGGAUACUGCCAGUAAGGCUGUUGUUACCCAAAUAUAUUGCCGGGGGGAGGUUGGACAACUGAUUGUACUGCUGAUUAGUAGCACUGUUGGGCAUCACAAAGACAGGCAACUCUAGAUAACUUCUGUCCACUAUCUCACUAGCCUCUUUCAAUGUCAAAGCUUGCAUCCAGCAGAACUCAAGAGGAAAUCCUCCUCUAAGGUGGUUAUUAGACAAAUCAACGUAGAAAAGGUUGUGCAGACUGCCCAACCAACCGGGGAUCGAACCAGUUAUAAAAUUAAACGACAAGUCCAAGACUUCAAGAUUUGUAACAUUGGCUAGCCAGGUGGGUACUUGACCUGUGAAUUGGCAACCCCCGAUAGCAAAAACCUGAAGACUUUGGAAUCCAACUGGGGCUCCAAGGCUUUUAUCAUCUGGCAAAGCCUCAUUCCAAAAAUUCUUCGACAAGACCAGAGUGGUCAGAUUCUUGCAACCCUUCAGAUUCCUAAAAGCCCCCGCGGCAUUUGUCAGGCUGUUGGUAGAGAUGGACAGGAAAGACAACGAUUCUAACGCGACUAUUUCAGGUGAUAUCUCGCCAGUGAGCUGGUUGCUAGCCAAUCUAAUAGCAGUUAAGGACUUGCACGAGUAGAGGCUUUGAGGUAACUCACCAAUGAAGUUGUUGUUGCCAAGGUCCAGAGUGGCGAGGCGUUGGAGAGUGGAAAAAUUGAAGGCAGAGAGCUGUCCAUUUAAGUUGUUAACCCGCAAAUUCAAGGUGGAU